CCCCGUCCUCCCCACCAAUCCCCCAUUCUCCUCAAGCCCCGCACACCCACGUCGGGCUGCCGCCGUUUCUCCAUAGCCCUCUCUUCUCGGUCUGCUCGAGGAGAGGAGGAAUAACACCCCCCCGCAUCUCAUCCGAAGAGGUCGGCCAUGAGGAGGUUCACCAGUCUGUUUCGUCGUCCUCGUCCCUAGGCGUCUGUUGCUGGAGAGAAGGACGCCAAGGCCCAGCAGUUUGUGACGGCCCCAACGGACGACGGACCCGGCGGGAGCGGGCUCUAGCUUUCUCUCCCUUCUUCUUCAUCUGGACAGAGAAUGACUCUGCUCAGAUGCAUAGUCAGGCAACUCACCGGACAGAGCUAGGAUGGAGGCGACUCUGAGGAAGAUGAAGGCCAAGAGCGGUGCCGCCGCCGGGGAGAGGAGGGCGGUGUUGUCGAGGAUGAUACUGCUCCUCUGCGCAUGCAGCUUUGUCCUUGGCGUGCUCUUCACCGACCGGUUCAGAUCAAUGCCGGAUUUAAGGAGCCGGGUGGUGGCGCAACUGCGGUGACAAGAAGAGAAGCUACAGAUCGUUUCUGAAGAUUCUGUUGCCAAGAUGAUGGAGCUGGCAGCGCGGCGCAGCAAGCAUGAGCUGCUUGAGAGUGCGGAUGGCAAGGCAGGAAAGGAAAAAGGCUCUUGUGGUGAUCGGGAUCAAUACCGCCUUCAGCAGCAAGAAGCGCCAUGAUUCUGUCAGGGAGAGAUGGAUGCGUCAAGGUUCAUUACUUUGCAAUGUUGUCUCCCUUGUUUUGGCUAUUUUGGCCUAGCUGUUGCUUUCUGCAUUUCUUGUUCUUAGUUAGACGAUGCAGAGGAAUGUGUAUUUAAUCAACUAGGGUUAUGACGUGCAGAUAGCAAGGAAAUAACAGAGAAAUGUGCAAGUACGAAAUCAAGGGAUCAAAUAGGAUCAUCUAUCGUCCCGGCAAAUAGAAUCAACUAAAUGUGAUUUUUUAUCAUCAUAACAACUAGAAUAAUCACAUAGGUUUAUUUAACAUCAUAGCUGCCUUGGGUCAUGCAGUUUGUUUGUUGCCUGCAUAGUUUCUGCUAAGAGUUGAGCUAUUUGGAUUGGGGUGGAUAAUUUAGUUGUCUGACAUUUAUUUUUAUUUCACCACAUAUAUCUCGUCGUUGUUUAUCAGAUGAGAUACUCAAGAAAUUGGAAGAGGAAAAGGGAGUCGUCAUUAGAUUUAUGAUUGGGCAUAGGUAAGGUUACUGCCGCUAAGGUUCAAUAUUUAAUAACUUGUUUGUUGAAAAGAAAAUCAUAAGAUGAGGUCCCGUAAAAGACAAAUCAUAACAUAGAAUACAUAUAUUGUAAAUAUCUCCAUGGAAAUCUUACAUAUUUUAGACAAGAAAAGGAUCCGGUAAAGCCUCAAUGUUAUAAACAGGUGCAGAUGGGGUUUCCCUAAUUCCCUAUCUUUAAACAAGACACCACUUGUCUAAUUGCUACAGAGUUAGAAAGUAAUUGGACAGUAAGUAGAUAAGGACAUAAAUCUGCUAUGAGUCAAGUGUGCAUGAACUGAAAAGGGAAGAUUGAACAAGUUCUGAGCUGUUAUGUGGAACCAUAAGUAUGCAAGUUUUACAAAAUAGUUUGGAUGAAAAAGCAAAACAAUACAAGGAGCCUGCGUAGAUGCACAUAUUUUUGAUGAAUAACACUCAUUUUAGUGUUAAAUAUGUAAGCUUGUAUGUCAGUAAGUGUGUAAAUUUAGUCUAACACUCGCUUUUCUUUUUCCUCAGAUCAAAAGCCAUGGAUUUGUUGGGUGAUAGCUUGAUUCUAAGGCAUUUAUAGAUUUACCACAGUUCCAAAAACUUACUGGCAUUUUGUAUUAUAUUUAUUCAAGUCGCUGAUUGAGUCUUGACCAUCACUUGAUCAACUAUAUUGAUUUUCUAAUACAAAGCCACUUCGCUAAUUAUCUUAUGACUGAUGCAGGGUUUAGAAUGUGAGUAUGAUGUGCGUGGAGAGAUUGCCAUCCAUGCUCAGGAAUUUCAAGUGACCAACAAGUGUUAUUUCAGUAAUUUGAAAUCUCAUGUAUUCAGAGUUUAGUCAACUCUUAGUCGUGUUCUUUAAUAAUCACUAGGUCUAAUAAAAUUUUAGUACGAUGCACUAUUUUUCUGAAUUUUGACAAGCAAGUGCAUCUUUGGUUGAGCCGAUCGGAUCGGAUUCGAUGCGUACAUUGGUAUUGAUGGAUUGCUGACCACUUCAUCUGGUGUUUCCUCUGUCGGUUGAGGUGCAUGUUGUUUUGAGAGAUUGAAGCAAGCAGAAAGCUGAUGGAGGGUCUUAGGGAUGACGAAAGCGUCAGUGACGACAUCAGGCGAGAGAGAAGAAGAGGUUCCAGCCAUAAGAUUCUUAAGUUCGCUGGCUCUGCGGCCGCAUCAUGGCAAGACGGCCACAAGGCAGUUGUUGCUUCCAGGCGCACAAAGGCCACUGAUCGGAUCAGCGUGAAGAAACACGUUCAGAUCGCCGCUGCAAGCCUCGCCUCAUCAACAGAUCAACCUCUGCACCUACAUCCACUUCGACAGGCCGUCAGUCAAAGCAGAAAAUGCAUGAUGUUAUCUGCAUCAAUGAUGAUAGCGGAUCUUCUGAAUCACUUCCUCAGCUUAACAACUUAAGCUCACUCCAGCAACACAGGAAAUACAAACCAGCUGUUAUCAACAUCGGUGAUGGCCCUUCACAUCAUCGCAAGAAAGCCAACAAAGACAAGCAAAAGAAGCACACAUCCGUUGGGGAACCCGCUUGGAAGCUUUGAUGAUCAUUGCACAUGGGGUAACAAAGUGAAGCUUUACAAAGAUCAAGUCAGAAAAUUGAAGCGUCUCAUCGCUGCGGAAAAAUUACACAUCAAUUGUCACAUUUUCCACAUGAGCCUUCAAGUACCUAUGGAAGUAUACCAUGCAAGCAUUAUGCCACAAUGACACUCUACUUAUUCGUACGUUCACACCUUCUGAAAACCAGUCAGACUAACAAGAUGACUAAAUAAGCUUUACAACUGUCUAUGUAUGUGUUUCUGUAAAACGAUCUACCUCACUCUACUAUCUAUGAUAAAUUCACAUUGCAUUA